rnacentral:lncRNA from 1 species
UCAUAAUGAAUCUAUGUUUGUUAGUGACCUUCCCUCAUGUUUUGUGGAAAUUUUAUGCUAAUUACACUACUUUUCUUUGUUGCUUUUGAUUUACAGAGAGUUCUAAAGGCUGCGGGGAUAUUUGCUGGAUCCAUCUUUUUGAUGCGCACCUUUGGUGACAUGAUGGUAGUUUAAGGACGUUGUAGUGGCUGAGCAGGGUAAUGGUGGUUCCAUGCCCAUUUUCGUUGUGUGCCUUGUGAUCAGGCUUGUGGAAUAUUUGUACUCAGACUUGUCGGUUUCUUGUUGAGUUGGUGUUUGAAGCAUUUCUCGGCAGGGCUAUUUGACUGUUCUUUUUUAGUUGAGCACUUAAUCUUCUAUGAGUAUAAUAAGUUCAUGUCCAGUUUGCUGUUAGGUCAACACAACCGUAGGCUUGUGUUGAAUUAACAGUCUAAUUCUAUUGUUUAGAUGCAACAUUUUGAUUAUGUUAAUAUGGGUGUUUGCCGAUGUUCUUCUCGAAUGGCUAGUUAUUCAUUGUUCUGUGACAUUCUGGAUGCAAUCCCAGCAGUUGCAUUUCUUGAUGUCAGUUCUCAGAAACUCAUGUAGUUCAUCUGUCUUGAAUACUUCUCUGUUAAUCGGAUGCCAUCGUUGACAGGGCACACUUGCACUCCUUGGAGGAUCCCAUGCCAAAUACGGUUGUGCCUGCCCACAGGGGUUCCAAAGCGCCGUAGGCUAUUUGGUACCUACCAAUUUCGGAUGUAUGACUUCAUAAUAUAAUACUCCCUCCGUCCCAAAAUUCUUUUCUUAGAUUUGUCUAUAUACGGAUGUACCUAAUACUAAAACGUGACUUGAUACAUCCGCAUUUGGACAAAUCUAAGACAAGAAUUUUGGGACGGAGGGAGUAGAUAACUGUCACAUUCCCAACGAUAAAUAUUACUCUCUGAGUAUUGAAAUCGAAACCUGGAUGUUUCGCGUCACAGGAUGGCCGUCUCGUAUGCUUUCAUGAUGUAACCCUGGAUGUUUGCUUACAGUAGAUUUUAAAGUAGCAUGGUUUAAUAGAUUUUAAAGCGAAUUGAAAUCACAUGUUCAGGGAUCAACAGUACAAUUGUACGCCUUGUCCUCUCUUUUUCUAGCGUUAUUUAUUUUGUUUAUUGCAUUCUUCUGCCUUAGACACUGCUCAUGUUCAUAUCAAUAAUCAAAUAAAAUCAUGUUAUUUUUGGUUGCAUGUCCCGCAGAUGUCUUGGUCUUUAUUGAUUAAUAUAUAUGCAUGCUCUUAUAAAUACUUAAAUCCUAUUUUCUUUUGCCUUAAUUUAAAACACUAUUUUGCUAUGGAAUUGCCAAUGAUGAUCUCCUGCUAUAUUGUACUCCCUCUGUUCGGAGUUACUUGUCGCAAAAAUGAAUUAAAAUGGAUGUAUUUAUAGAACUAAAAUAUGCCUAGGUACAUUCAUUUUUCCGACAAGUAUUUCGGGACGGAGGGAGUAGGAAAGUAAAAGAUCCUUACAUUUGAUGAGUAUAUCUUGAUUGCACUUAAUGCUGACAGGAUGGUUGGAAUAUACCGAGAGAUCAAGGAUCCUAUUUUCUUCAACCUGAGAACAGUUUGUGUUCUCAAAGUACUGAACCAACUUUAAUGUGGAAAAUGUCUUCUUGGAAAUUCACUGUAUGAUUCUUGAAUAAUCAUGUACUAGGUAAAGUGGUCAUGUGGCAAAAAAGUUGGAGGACAGGAUCGUCGAGGCACUUCUGAAGUAUGGCUACAAAGGCGAAUACAUGUCUGAAGAUUGGCUCAAGCAGCCAGUAUUCAUCCCAUCCUUUGCUCCAACUUCACUCAUUUACAUCCCAAACAUGACAAACUCCAGAAGUUUUUCUAAUAGAUGAUACCAUAAAAAAAACUGAUAUCAGCAGUAAGCACUAGCGGGCUUUUCCUACAAAAACUCCUUUUUUUCAAAGACAUUUUCUAACGUGCAGCCGUACUAUGAGAUAACUUCAAAUGGUUAUCUCGCGUUCAUAGUAUAUACUCCACACACAUUCAGAAAUCAGAAUUCAUUCCUGCACUUCAACUUCCUCCAAGACCCUUAUGUUGAAUAUGACUAUAUGUGUACUCUUAACAAGAUCAGUAUUGCGGCCUGUUCACCGAUUUCACCGGCACCUUGCACAGGUCCCAGCACUGCACAGCUCCACUCCAUACCAAAUGAAGUAAAAUAAGGUAGAGGCACUCCUGCAUGAGAUCUCCUACAUGCUGAAGGAUGAUGGAUACUAAGCUUAUGUUCCCAAGUCUGCAUACUGUUCUCACCGUUAACACCACUGAGAAAAAGGAUGUGUGCUGCCAUUCUCUGUAAAAUAUACAAAUAAAUCACAGGAAUGCUAACUAUAGAGCAUCACAAAGUAAAAAUUGUCAUAAAAUCUGGAAGAAUUGCACUGUUUAUACUUUAUACUACUUUAUAAUGAUUCCUAGUAAAAAAAAGUAGUUCUGAAAUAAGUACUAUAUUCAUGGCAUAUUGGCAUUUAUUCUCAACUCUAAAUAAUGAGAGUAAGAUGGAAGAUAUGGUUUAACAUACACGAGGCCAAAGAAAUCUUUCUUUUUCCAUGAGACAUGUCAACGACUUAUAAAUUUACGCAGAGUCUUGCUUGUUACCUAGCCUUGAAUACAGAAUAUGAAUAUAUCUUCCUAGCGGGCCAAAUAAAGGCCCAGUUCUUUUCAGGCAAGAUUCUACAGAAUCAGGAUUCUGCAAAAUUCUCCCAAAAUCUGCUUCUCCCAGAAUCUGCCGCCGAGUUCUUUUCAGAGAUUGUAGUUUGAGAUUCUAGAAAGUGUUGUGUGUUGAAAUGCCUGUACUAUCCUUAGACAAAAAUUUCUUGGAUGAAAUGUAUUUUAUCUAUCAACAAUAGCUAGCAUCAAUUCAAGCAUUAUUCAAGCAUGAAGAAACAGAGAGAUGUAAAAAGGAGGGCUCAUCGUGAGUGUCGGCGUCGAACUUUGCGGGACGGGGCUGAGGGCCGGGACGGACUGAGGGGCGAGGAGGAGCUAAGGAGGGAAGCUGGCCGGCGGGGACGGUAACCCUAGCUGCUGCCGCGCAGCUGACGGGGCGGGGUGAACUGCUGGGCGAGGAGGGCGGGGCGGACCGGGCAAGGGAGGCUGGCUGGCGGGGGCGGGGGCGGCUCGAAGGUCCGCUGCCCCGAUGCGGUGCGGGAACUGGGAGACGAGUGCGCGGUUGGGUGCGUCCGCUCGUUGACUGCGGGGUGGCAUUUUGACCGUAAAUAUGUGAUACAAUAGGGGUACAACUAUACUUCGAAACGUUUUCUUUGGUGGGACUAGCUAGAAUCCUGAGAUUGUGGGAGAGGCCAGGUAUAUUGGGAUUUUGGGAUUGCAUUAGGAUUCUACAGAAUCCGAUUGAGAUUUUGAAAGUUCAAUCGGUUCUUUUCGCUCGGGAUUUUCGGGACCGAGAUUCUCCAUAAUCUGCUCAAAAGAACUGGGCCAAAAUCUCUCGGGGUGAAAUGUGUGUGCAUUAACUAAUUCUGGUUCCAAUGUUAUGUGGAUGCUGACCUUCAUGCGAAAUGUACGCGUGAAAACAAAUUGUGUGAGACACUUAUCACUUACAUGUUGGCCUACUACACAACAUACAUAAACAAUCACUAUAUAUAUCCAGCCUGCUUCCAUACACUACACUCCUGCUUCAUUUACUUAGUUAAAUGUGUAGGAGUUUGAUUUUUUUUUCGUUGGUAAAGUUCUGAGAUAGUGGAGGCAACCACAGACUCAAUGGAGUAUGUCGCGAGCUUAGGAUGUCUCGGAAGUUACAGACAAUCAAAUACGGCGUGUGUGUCAUGUUUAGGCUGCCGUGGGCCAUGGUUAGUAGUUGUUCUUACCAGCUGAUCAAGAAUUCGUCCGAUUAAUCAGUUAACGGACUAGUUAAUCGCUACUUGUAGGAUGGUCAAAUCGAAUAGCACAUAUUUGGCGCGUUAACUUGCCAUGCCGAUUAACUGGCGUGGUUGGUAUAUUGCAUAGCUGAGAGUUUGAGAGUAUGGUGUAAUACAUAAAAGAUUAGAUAUAUGUUGCCAGACAAAGUUCGGCAUGCUUCUCGAGAGGACCGGACAAGAAGUUCUGGAAGAAAAUGCGGAGGCUUCCGAUUCCACCCAAAGUUCCGAAUUUUUGGUGGCGGGUCAUCAAGGGUUUUGUCCCUUCUAGAGGGGUAUUAUGCCAAAGACAUAUUUAGCAGGUUGAUUUCUGCCAUGCUUGUGGGCAACAGGAUACCAUUCGGCAUGCUUUAUUCGAGUGUACUUAGGCAAGAAUGUUUUGGCAAGAGAUCAAGAAAUUGACAUCAACUAAGGUACCGCUCACGCACCCUGAAACCUGGGUGAUGGACUUGCAUCAUUCUAUGCGGUUCAUGGGCUGUUUGGACGGAGAGAAAUGCACGCAACCAUGGAGAAACUACUCGGUCCAUAGCACAAUCUGUAAAAUGGGCAAUUGAUGUAGCCACAGAUCUCGCAGUUACAGGAUCACAACAUGUAGUACGCGUGAACAAAGAACUGCAGAAGUGGAAACCGCAAGAAGAAAGGUUCACUAAAGUUAAUGUGGAUGCUGCGUUCUGGGGAGAAACUCAUGAAGGAGGGACUGGCGCAGGUCUGCAAAAUCAUGAUGGUAAGCUGCUCAGAGCAUAAUCCAUAUGGUAUGAAAACGGGUCUUAAUGCAAGAUCACUUGAGGCAUAUGCUAUCAGAGAUGGCAUAUAAUUGGCUGCAGACUUGGGGUAUCGGAAGGUCAUUAUUGAGUCUGAUGCUCAACAAGUUAUAAAACAGUGCAAUUCUCCUGGGGUAGAUCGAUCGGAGAUAGCGACCACUGUGAACGAGAUACAAGAGCUUUGCGGGAAUUUUGAGGAACUUCGGUUGGUGUUUAUUCAUAGAGAAGCAAAUGAAUUAGUGCAUCUUUGUGCUAGGCAAUGUAGUUCCUCUAGGAGAAGAUGCAUCUGGAUUAAUUAUGUCCCAUCCUUCCUUACGGCUUGUGUAAUGAAGGAAUGUAAUCCCGUUGAUUAAAUCAAUAAAGCUCUUGAAAUCCAAAAAAAAAGAUAAAUGUCGCCAGGUUCAUAUUUAAUCUACUAAUUUAUGAUCGACCAAUUAAUCCAGUUGUUAGGACGGUUCAUCGAUUAGUCGCUACUCCCAAGCCAACCGAGCAUGUACCAGUUACUUGUUUCCUGGACAAUGUUCUCACCAUUACUGGUUUUUGAUAAUAGUUAUAUUGCUGGGUAAGAAGAUCUGGGAACGCCCGCCCGAUACGUUUCCAGAAAUAAUAGCAAUCCAAAUAGGACAGGGAACGAGGCACAGUGUCACUCGGAUACGAGUGCUCGGUGCUCCGAAAUCCCAAUACGACUCGGACAUGCACGGCCGGAUCCCAACGAAUAAAUACGUUACUCCAUGAGCUGUGAGCACCUACGUACCUAAGAUUGCUGGCACGACUCAAGAACCAGACGAUCCAUCAUCAUGUACGGGGCCAGUCCGGCGAAAUUCCGGUCGUUCACGCCGCCGGCAAUCACCCUGCAGCCCCCGCUCCCGCCCCACGACGACCCAUGGCCGACCUCCGCCCCUCUGCAGCCCGCGACUCCCCUCGCCGAGCCCGCCGGCGCCAAGGCUUACGAUCAAGAAAUCACCGCGUGCCACCGGUCCGUGGAGGCCGCGGCGCCGGACUACACCUCGAUGAUGUCGGUGCCCCAGAAGCCGGAGACCCCGCCCAUCCUCGCCGUCCUCGUCAAGUGGAUCGCCUCCGUCGCGGUCGGCUUCAAGACGCAGCUACGGUGCGACCUUGAUAUGUGACACCAGUCACCAGGCCGCCUCAUUAUUAAUUUAUUACAGGAAAGAACAGAUCUGUACACUCGCAACGGUCGCAUUAGUAUAUUCUUUUUUCAGGGAUGCAUUAGUUUAUUCUUUGGCAUGCUUGUUGUAGUUGUGUAUUUUUUUAAGAGUCAAUUACAUCAUAGGUGUCUGAACUUGGCGAGAAAAAUCAGUUUGGUGUUAAAACUUGCGGCAUACAUUGAACCGGUGACAGAACUUGGCUUAGGCGUGCAUCUACGGUGCUAAUCACGUUUGUAUACGCAUGGUGUGCUGACGAGGAACACCAACGUGGCGCCGGACCCAGCGUCGGUGACUGCAAGGCGGGGAGGAGGGUGUGUGGCCUGGUUUUUGCAGAAAGCACCCUGGAAUUCUUUUCCUCAUAGAAAAGCCCCUGAAUGAAUACCAAAUCUUGCAAAAAUACCGUGAAACUUAACGACGUCUCUAUGACCCUUGAGGCCCACCCGUCAGGAAAUAAUAGGAAGAGAUAAUAAUAUAUGUAGAUAAAGAGGUGCGCACCAGGGACAUCACACUACGGAGAUGACAAUGCUAACCACCGCACCAAGUCUAGUUUGGUGUCAACAGGGGUAGCUAUAUACAUUUUUUUAGGCAAGGGUAGCUAUAUACGUGACUCCACCCUAACAAGACUGCCAUGUGGGCCCCAGUGUCAGUGACUGGACCACACAGGAGAGGGCGUGUGCGAUGGAAUUUUUAUUUUCACACAAAAGAGAACCUCGAUUUUUCUUAAAAAAACACUGAGACGUCACUAUACAUCUCUAUGACCUUUGGGUCCCAUCCCGCAGGAUACAUUACAAAGAUCAAAUUGAUAUGCAAAAUAUUGUGCCUCACAGGUUCGAACCAAAGACCUGACCCCAUCUGGUCGGCUGCCGAAAUGGCCCAUUUUUCACGCGUUAUUUUUUCUAAAUUAUAAAUAUUAUAUAUAAAGCCGCAAAAAUACAAAUAAAAUAAUGUUUAUGUAAUUCUAAAAAACAUUAUUGUCUAAAUUAUUUUAUGUAAUUCUAAAAAAUAUUCUUUUUAAAAUAAUGUUCACGUAAUUCAUAAAACUGUUCUUAUCUAAAAGAAUAUUCAUGAAAUUCUAAAAAUAUAUGAAAAAUAUUUAUGUAUUAUUUGGAAAAAUAUUUCUAUAACUAAAAUAACAAAUAUGAAUUAUAAUAGUAUUUAUCAAUUGGAAAAACUAUGGUGUGCAAAAUGGGGCGCGGUCGCUCCAGAUCAUUUAAGCCGCAUGUGCGUGAUUGUAGUUAUUAACUACUGCUAUCCUGUAUAAUAAGCAAUGUGGCCUUGUUGUUGUGGCUAGAAUGAUCGUUUUAUUAUCGUGAGGUCGCGGGUUUGAACUGACACUUGGUUUUCGAUGUUAUAAUAUCCUUUUGUACUGUUUCCGGAUGGGUGGGCCGGGUCAUAGAGAUGUAGUUACGUUUCAAGGGAUUUUCCCAAGAUUUGUAUUCAGUCAGGGUUUUUUUUGUGAAGAAAAAAAUAAUUCCAGGGUGUUUCCUACAAAAACCAGGCCACACCCCUCCUCUCCUCCUUCCAGCGUAUUCAGUCAUGGGCUUUUUUGUAAAGAAAAAAUAAUUCUAGGGUGUUUUCUAAAAAAACAGGCCACACGACCUUCUUCCUGCCUUCCGGUCACUGACACUAGGGCCCGCGCCACGUUGACGUGCCUCAUCAGCACACCAUGCGUAUACAAACGUGAUUAGCACCAUAGAUGCACGCCCAAGCCAAGUUUUGUUACUGGUUCAAUGUAUGCCACAAGUUUUAGCACUAAACUGACUUUUCUUGCCAAGUUCCGGCACCUGUGGUGUAAUUGACUCUUUUUUUAAUU